UCUAUGUGGUUACACAGUCAACAUCUUAAAAGUACACACACACGUUUCUUAUAUUAUGACUCUUAAAAUAUGUACAUCUGGUAAUAUUGACGAAUUCUCUCGCUUUACUAGUGAUGCAUGGACCAAAAAGAAGCGCAUGGGAACCCAGGAGCAAGCUGAUGUUCUCUAACUAACCCCUAUAUUCUCAUAAUUCAGUCUACAACAACAUCCAGUGUACGGAUUGGGCAGUUAAAGCUCUGAUGACUGGUGCUGAAAUGAGCGACCAAGAACUCCUGACUGAAGCUGAACAGAUUGAGUCUAAGACAUCCAAAGAUCUGCUCCAAUCUUCAUCUUCCAAACCACCCAUCACAAAGGAGCCCUGGAGUCCUGUCAACACACUGUGCUCCGGAUGCUUCUCCCCAUUCAAGGAUGUCCUUCUAGAAAUAACUUUUGUCUCUGCUACCGGCAUGGUGAACUCACAACCGAAACCAGUUCCUUGAUCCAUCAUCAGACCUUCUAGCUACCUAUCGAGGUCCUGCUGCAGUUCAAGAGGUGUUUUCUAUCUUUCUUAAACAAAAUCUGAUAAAUUAAGGGAAGGAGUAACUGUUCACAUUGCUCGCACUAAUUCUGUUUUAUGUCCUCACACUUCCAUGCUGAGAUAUCUGGCCUUCAGACCCCGAUCCAUGCCUCUUUUCUGCAAGACUCCAAGAUCUUCUCCAAUAGGCGGUCUUUCUUCCAUGAUCUAGUCAUGCCAUUCUUUCAGCGAUGCUCCACUGCCUAAUAUGUUUUGUUCACCGGGAUGAACAGGUCGCAUAGAUUUAUUAUUUCAUUGUUUUUUUUGUUUUUUUGUAGCAGGCGGCACCGGGAUGCUCCAAAGGAUGAGGCUAUGCUCCAACUACUUUUACUCGACUUAUUUUUACUUAUUUUUUACUUACAUUUACUCUACUAUUUUUUUAUUCACCGAUUGUUUGGGUUCAGUGUUUUUGGAAAUCUGUAAGAUUUUGUAUUAUAAUAAAGGUGCUUAUUUAACGCAACAUUGUCCUGAAUGAAUACCAUUAUGAUUGAAUAAAUCAAGUUUGCCGUUCAUUAAAACGUUUUUUCAACUGUUGUAGACAGGGUUAGAAAUCUAUUUUUUCAAAGCCCACGAAAACUCAAAAAAUGUUUAUAAACAAAAGAACAAACCUUAAAACAGUUUUGAGAAUAAGGCUAUUUCAUAACACUUUUAAAAUACUUAAUAUUUAAUUUGAUUUUUUAUAUAGAAUUUAGUGAUUCACUUUAAGUAUAACAGAAUGACUUUAUUAAUAGUAUCACUUAUAUGUAUUACACACAAUUGUAAAUGUGAAAAACAGUCAUGAUUGUUUUCAUAUUUGUAUCCUCAUGUCCUGGAAUAUUAAACAAUUUAUUUCUUCUCUCACCAUCAUUUGUAAUAUUAUAGCGCCUUCUACAAAAAGGUUAAACAUAGUAGGAGGAAGUAAAUUACUUCGGUAGCAUUCCUUCUUUAUAAAAAUGACCCAAGAUACUUUUGCAUGACAACAACAACAACAAUAAUAAUAAUAAUAAUAAUAAUAAUAAUAAUAAUAAUAAUAAUAAUAAUAAUUACAUUGUCUGAGGUAUCUCCAUUCUCAUCUGAAGUGUCAUCACUUUCCUGAAAAAAAUAAAUAAAUAAAUAAAAACCCAUCAUCCUUGCCCCUAAAUAAUAGGCUUGUGCGACCUAACUGAAAAAUCCUCCCCGGCACACCUGAAUCAUUAACCUAAAGUCAAUUCUCCACCUUGCAAGUCUCCCUUAAAAUUAUGCCUUUUACAUAUUGUUUUGACUACAGUACUGUAUUUACAUUAAAAAAUAUAUAUAUAUUUGUAGUUUGUUACUUAUUUGGUUUUAAACUGUGCAGUUUACGCUCUUAUUACAAUACACAAGACCAUAAACGAAAGUUUCCACAUGGUAUUUAUAGGCUUUACUAGUUGAUUACUCAUUGGUUCUACAUUGUGUAGU